rnacentral:lncRNA from 1 species
AUACCACUUUUAAUUAAGUAAUAAAAUUACUGUACUUCAGAAAUAAUAGAGAUGUUUUUAUUAAUUCUAAAAGAAGAAUGAGACAGUAUCAGGUUUGCAAAAGAGAGUUAAAAGAUAUCAGAGGGACAUUCAUACCCAUAAGUCGAAAAAAAACCUGACAAUGCCAUUAGUGGCUUAAAAAAAAACCAAACAGACAAACAAUAGUACACGAAACUCAACAUAGUAAACCAAAGACAGAGC